rnacentral:antisense_RNA from 1 species
AUGUCUUGCUAGGCCAGCAGGAGCCAGGCCGUGGCCUGCUGACUGCAUCUGCCAGAUGACUACCAAUGUUUUUAUAGAUUGAGAGGAACUACGCUCAAGGAGCCUCAUGCAUACCUGGACCUGAUUUAAAUGAUGAGAUGCUGGACUUCAAGCAGAUGCUGUAAUGAUAUGAGGUUCUCAGGGACCUUGGGAAAUAGUAAAUGUAUUUUGCGUGUGAGAGGGACACAAAUCAUUGGAGGCCAAAAGGGUGAACUGAGGACAGAUUCUAGGGUAGCUCCCACAAUCCCCACCUCCUGGUUUCACCCUUGUGGGAUCUUGCCAUGAGUGUGGAUGGAACCUGUGAUUUGCUUCUAACUAGUAGAAUUUGGCAAAAAAUGAUGAGAUAUAUGUGAUUAUGUUUACAUGAUUAUAUUAUAUACGAUUCUGAGUACAUUGAGCUGCAUAGAGAGAGCACGGGGGCAAGUGAGAGCCAGGUGGGCACUGGAAAGCUCUGUGCCUCACUGAGGAAAAAUAACUAAACAUGGGCAAAAGAGAUCCAUGGAACCUGAGAGGCAAAGUGUUAUUAUAUGCAUUCU